GACGAACGCUGGCGGCGUGCUUAACACAUGCAAGUCGAACGGUGAAGGGACCGGUUUUUGCUGGUUCUGGAUGAGUGGCGCACGGGUGAGUAACACGUGAGUAACCUGCCCCCUUCUUCUGGAUAACCGCAUGAAAGUGUGGCUAAUACGGGAUAUUCUGCGCCUGCUGCAUGGUGGGUGUGGGAAAGAUAUUGUUUCGGUGGGGGAUGGGCUCGCGGCCUAUCAGCUUGUUGGUGGGGUGAUGGCCUACCAAGGCGGUGACGGGUAGCCGGCCUGAGAGGGUGGACGGUCACACUGGGACUGAGACACGGCCCAGACUCCUACGGGAGGCAGCAGUGGGGAAUAUUGCACAAUGGGCGCAAGCCUGAUGCAGCGACGCCGCGUGAGGGAUGGAGGCCUUCGGGUUGUAAACCUCUUUCGCCAGUGAAGCAGGCCUGUCCCUUGUGUGGGUGGGUUGACGGUAGCUGGAUAAGAAGCGCCGGCUAACUACGUG
rnacentral:rRNA from 1 species